rnacentral:rRNA from 1 species
UACGAAGGGGGCUAGCGUUGUUCGGAAUCGCUGGGCGUAAAGCGCACGUAGGCGGGUUCUUAAGUCAGGGGUGAAAUCCCGAGGCUCAACCUCGGAACUGCCUUUGAUACUGGGAAUCUUGAGUUCGGGAGAGGUGAGUGGAAUUGCGAGUGUAGAGGUGAAAUUCGUAGAUAUUGGGAAGAACACCGGUGGCGAAGGCGGCUCACUGGCUCAUUACUGACGCUCAGGCGCGAUAGCGUGGGGAUCAAACAGG